rnacentral:rRNA from 1 species
CUUGGUCAUUUAGAGGAAGUAAAAGUCGUAACAAGGUUUCCGUAGGUGAACCUGCGGAAGGAUCAUUACUGAAUUUCAUGGAGUGUUGUCGCUGGCUCUUCGGAGCAUGUGCACGCACUUCAAAUUCAUCUUUACCACCUGUGCACUUUUGUAGACUGUGAUAACUCUCAAUGGUUUUUCCGUUGGAUUGAAGGACUUGCGUUUAGCUGUCUUUCGACUUCACAGUCUAUGUCUCAUCUACUAUAAAAAGUCUAGAAUGUAACUUGUGGGUCUUUUUGACCUAUAAAACUUAUACAACUUUCAACAACGGAUCUCUUGGCUCUCGCAUCGAUGAAGAACGCAGCGAAAUGCGAUAAGUAAUGUGAAUUGCAGKAUUCAGUGAAUCAUCGAAUCUUUGAACGCACCUUGCACUCCUUGGUAUUCCGAGGAGUAUGCCUGUUUGAGUGUCAUUAAAUUCUCAAACCUCUUUGACUUUAUUGACAAAGAGGCUUUGGAUGUGGGAGUUGCUGGCUUUUACGAGUCAGCUCUCCUUAAAUACAUUAGUGGUUACUGUUCUCCACUUCCUGGUGUGAUAAUAUCUACGCCUAGUGGAGAUGUUAAGUGUAGCUGCUUUCUAACCGUCCAUGCAAUGUGGACAACUUGAACCAUUUGACCUCAAAUCAGGUAGGACUACCCGCUGAACUUAAGCAUAUCAAUAAGCGGAGGA